rnacentral:rRNA from 1 species
GUGGGGAAUCUUAGACAAUGGGGGCAACCCUGAUCUAGCCAUGCCGCGUGAGUGAUGAAGGCCUUAGGGUCGUAAAGCUCUUUCGCUGGGGAAGAUAAUGACGGUACCCAGUAAAGAAACCCCGGCUAACUCCGUGCCAGCAGCCGCGGUAAUACGGAGGGGGUUAGCGUUGUUCGGAAUUACUGGGCGUAAAGCGCGCGUAGGCGGAUUGGAAAGUUGGGGGUGAAAUCCCGGGGCUCAACCCUGGAAUGGCCUUCAAAACUCCCAGUCUUGAGGUCGAGAGAGGAGAGUGGAAUUCCGAGUGUAGAGGUGAAAUUCGUAGAUAUUCGGAGGAACACCAGUGGCGAAGGCGGCUCACUGGCUCGAUACUGACGCUGAGGUGCGAAAGCGUGGGGAGCAAACAGGAUUAGAUACCCCGGUAGUCC